rnacentral:rRNA from 1 species
GAGUUUGAUCCUGGCUCAGAUUGAACGCUGGCGGAAUGCUUUACACAUGCAAGUCGAACGGCAGCACGGGUGCUUGCACCUGGUGGCGAGUGGCGAACGGGUGAGUAAUACAUAGGAACAUACCCAGUAAUGGGGGAUAACGCCGAGAAAUCGGUGCUAAUACCGCAUACGCCCUACGGGGGAAAGCGGGGGAUCUUCGGACCUCGCGUUAUUGGAUUGGCCUAUGUCUGAUUAGCUAGUUGGUGAGGUAAAGGCUCACCAAGGCUUCGAUCAGUAGCUGGUCUGAGAGGAUGAUCAGCCACACUGGAACUGAGACACGGUCCAGACUCCUACGGGAGGCAGCAGUGGGGAAUUUUGGACAAUGGGCGAAAGCCUGAUCCAGCCAUUCCGCGUGAGUGAAGAAGGCCUUCGGGUUGUAAAGCUCUUUCGGCAGGAACGAAAUGGUCACGGUUAAUAACUGUGACUUCUGACGGUACCUGAAGAAGAAGCACCGGCUAACUACGUGCCAGCAGCCGCGGUAAUACGUAGGGUGCGAGCGUUAAUCGGAAUUACUGGGCGUAAAGCGUGCGCAGGCGGUUUUGUAAGUCAGAUGUGAAAGCCCCGGGCUUAACCUGGGAAUGGCGUUUGAAACACAAGGCUAGAGUGUG